GUAACGCGUAUCCAACCUUCCGUACACUCAGGGAUAGCCUUUCGAAAGAAAGAUUAAUACCUGAUGGUAUGAUGAGAUUGCAUGAUAGCAUCAUUAAAGAUUUAUCGGUGUACGAUGGGGAUGCGUUCCAUUAGGUAGUAGGCGGGGUAACGGCCCACCUAGCCAACGAUGGAUAGGGGUUCUGAGAGGAAGGUCCCCCACAUUGGAACUGAGACACGGUCCAAACUCCUACGGGAGGCAGCAGUGAGGAAUAUUGGUCAAUGGACGAGAGUCUGAACCAGCCAAGUAGCGUGAAGGAUGAAGGUCCUACGGAUUGUAAACUUCUUUUAUAAGGGAAUAAACCCUCCCACGUGUGGGAGCUUGUAUGUACCUUAUGAAUAAGCAUCGGCUAACUCCGUGCCAGCAGCCGCGGUAAUACGGAGGAUGCGAGCGUUAUCCGGAUUUAUUGGGUUUAAAGGGAGCGCAGACGGGUCGUUAAGUCAGCUGUGAAAGUUUGGGGCUCAACCUUAAAAUUGCAGUUGAUACUGGCGUCCUUGAGUGCGGUUGAGGUGUGCGGAAUUCGUGGUGUAGCGGUGAAAUGCUUAGAUAUCACGAAGAACUCCGAUUGCGAAGGCAGCACACUAAUCCGUAACUGACGU
rnacentral:rRNA from 1 species